GUGAAGAACGUAGCGAAAUGCGAUAAGUAAUGUGAAUUGCAGAAUUCAGUGAAUCACCGAAUCUUUGAACGCACAUUGCGCCCGCCAGUAUUCUGGCGGGCAUGCCUGUUCGAGCGUCAUUUCAACCAUCAAGCCCCCGGCUUGUGUUGGGGACCUGCGGCUGCCGCAGGCCCUGAAAAGCAGUGGCGGGCUCGCUGUCACACCGAGCGUAGUAGCAUACAUCUCGCUCUGGGCGUGCUGCGGGUUCCGGCCGUUAAACCACCUUCAUAACCCAAGGUUGACCUCGGAUCAGGUAGGAAGACCCGCUGAACUUAAGCAUAUCAAUAAGCGGAGGA
rnacentral:misc_RNA from 1 species